UUGUGAACAUGUCUCAAGCUUUCAUUUUCAUAUUGUUCAAUUUUGACCACAAAAUUACCAUUUUACAAUUUUGAAGUUGUAAUUGUAAGUAGGGUAAAAUACUGUUUCAUAUCUCAAGUAUGUCAAAAUUAAUAACUUGGUCCUCAUAUUUUCAAAAAUACACAAUUUAGUCCCUUAUAUUUAAUUCGGUUUUCGUCUAUUUUUAUCGAUUUAACCAUUAGUCAAGGGACUAAAAGGUGGUCAAUGAAGGACUAAAGUGUUCAUAAUGGUAAAAACUAGGAACGACAGUGUUCAUAACAGUAAAACUAGGGACAAGAUAAUAAUUUAUCUUGAGGGGUAUUGAGGUAUUUUCACUCUUGAUUAAUGGCUACAAUUGAGAAAAAUGGAUGGAGGGACAAAAUCGUAUGACAUAAUCAAAAUUUAGGGACGUUUUCAUCUAUUUUCCAAAAUAGGGAUCAAAGUGUUAUGGGAUAGCAUAGGGAUGGAAAAUAAUUUACCCAUAAAUCAUUCACAAAUUUAUUUAAAAAAUUGACAUUAUUUAAAAAUUUUUGUUGUGCCUAACAAUGCCUUUUCUUUUUAAUAGCUUUAUAAUAAAAUUUUUAAUCUUCAAGUAUAAUAAUUAUAUGAGAUUUUUUAAAAUUAUAUUAUAUAUGAUUUUCUUCUUCAUGAACGUUUAAAGUAACUUCAACCUAGCUCAAAUUUGACUAAUUUAUUUGACAAGCCUUAAAACUAAGCUUGAGCUUAACACAUUAAUCUUAAUAAAUGAAUUCAGAAAAUUCUAUCAAGCUAUGCUUUGAGUAGCUUAUGGGCAGUUUGGUUCAUUUUCAGCUCUGCAGUCCUAGUACUGCCAAGUACACUUUCUUCAGUUCAGUUUUUAUCUUUAUAAUAUUGCCCACCCAAAUAUCAUAUCUUCAGGCAUUAAAGCAUAUUAAGGUUGGAAGUGCUGCAACCAUGUGAAAGGUCAAUUGCAUUGGCAUAGUUGAGAUGGUAUGACUAUAUCUAAACUAUAGAGGUCCUUUCCCAUUAAGGAAAGAAAAAUAAAUUUACUCCAAAGUUGACUUGAAAUAUUUCCUUAAUUUCAAUGCCAAUCUGGUUGGGCUUGAAGUACAACUUCUGUGAAGAACCUCUCUUCUUUUUCAUCCAUUCUUUUAGAAUAGAGAAAUACCAUUUUUUAAACGUGGGAGACAUAUAAGAUGUUUCAUAAUUUAAGCCACUUUGCAGGAAAGUGGCUUUUUUAAAAGGAUUAUGACACAUACAACUUUUUGACAAGUCCUGUAUUAAGGGAUAAUAAUCCCUUUGCUGAGUGCCUUGAGUUUGAAUCACAUUUUAAUUUUGCUAUCAACAUAAAUGCAAAAUCUUGAUUUUGGCUAAAGCCCAGAUUUUAUUGGUUAAAAAAAAGCGGUGAUAUGGCAUCUUUUCAAUGGUACAAUUCUCUUUUACGUAUUGGGGUUUUGAAGUUCACCGCUUAUAUUGAUGUCUUUACCAGUGCCUUUUCUGUUCCCCGAAAUUUGUGCUGAAAUAAUUUCAGAAAAUCUGAAUUUUUUAAUGGCUAUGCAAGAUCUUUUUUUAAACCUAAUAGGGAGAAUCUCUUUUAUGUAGGCUUUCUCCUUCUAUUUGUAAAUAAAUUAGCCUUUAUUGGGUUUUUGGUCAUCUAUUAUAUACUGUCAAAGCAGUUGAAUUUUUCAAAUGUAGAAGUGCAAAUCUCUUCUUUUUCAAUAACAUCUGGAUGCUGGAAUUGAUUCGAACCCUGAGGUUCUUUCUGAAAUUUUAGACAUUGUGAACACCCAGAUUUCAGUUGGUCACUUAAGAAUUAAAUGAUAUGGAUCUAAGGAUACUUGUGUAAAGAAUUAUGAUUUUGUUAUAAUGUUAAUCGUACCUUCAUUGCCACGUUGACAUUUUGGCUUUCAUCUGCGAGCUUUACAAUCUAGUGAGAUGAGAUAUUAGAAAUAUUGUUAGCCUGGUUUCACCCAGGAACCAUUGUUUUGGGGGUAAGGGAACACUAUUGCUAAGAGCUGUUCGUUUUUGUCGUAUUUGUUAUCUCUAGUGAUUAUUGCAUCUCCUUUCUACAAGUUUCAAUUGUGUCCAUUACCUGCUUUAAUUUUGCCCAUACAAAACUCUCUUAACCUCUGAUUUGUUGCUAUCAUUAAAACAAUGAGCAAGAAUGCUGUGUCCAUCCUAUGAUCAGUGUUAUUAAGGCAAAAGGCGACACUAAGGCG
rnacentral:misc_RNA from 1 species